GAAACGGGUGGUAAUGCCGGAUGCUCCGACUCCUCGCAUGGGGUGUCGGGAAAGAUUUCAUCGGUAUGGGAUGGGGUCGCGUCCUAUCAGGUAGUCGGCGGGGUAACGGCCCACCGAGCCUACGACGGGUAGCCGGCCUGAGAGGGCGACCGGCCACAUUGGGACUGAGAUACGGCCCAGACUCCUACGGGAGGCAGCAGUGGGGAAUAUUGCACAAUGGGCGCAAGCCUGAUGCAGCGACGCCGCGUGCGGGAUGACGGCCUUCGGGUUGUAAACCGCUUUUGAUCGGGAGCAAGCCUUCGGGUGAGUGUACCUUUCGAAUAAGCACCGGCUAACUACGUGCCAGCAGCCGCGGUAAUACGUAGGGUGCAAGCGUUAUCCGGAAUUAUUGGGCGUAAAGGGCUCGUAGGCGGUUCGUCGCGUCCGGUGUGAAAGUCCAUCGCUUAACGGUGGAUCUGCGCCGGGUACGGGCGGGCUGGAGUGCGGUAGGGGAGACUGGAAUUCCCGGUGUAACGGUGGAAUGU
rnacentral:rRNA from 1 species